rnacentral:rRNA from 1 species
UACGGAGGCAGCAGUGAGGAAUAUUGGUCAAUGGGCGAGAGCCUGAACCAGCCAAGUAGCGUGAGGGACGACUGCCCUAUGGGUUGUAAACCUCUUUUGUUUGGGAAUAAAGCGGGCCACGCGUGGCCUUUUGUAUGUACCUUACGAAUAAGCAUCGGCUAACUCCGUGCCAGCAGCCGCGGUAA